rnacentral:rRNA from 1 species
UACGAAGGGGGGCUAGCGUUGUUCGGAAUUACUGGGCGUAAAGCGCACGUAGGCGGGUUGUUAAGUCAGGGGUGAAAUCCUGGAGCUCAACUCCAGAACUGCCUUUGAUACUGGCAACCUAGAGACUGGAAGAGGUUAGUGGAAUUCCCAGUGUAGAGGUGAAAUUCGUAGAUAUUGGGAAGAACACCAGUGGCGAAGGCGGCUAACUGGUCCAGCACUGACGCUGAGGUGCGAAAGCGUGGGGAGCAAACAGG